rnacentral:rRNA from 1 species
CUCUCGGCAACGGAUAUCUCGGCUCUCGCAUCGAUGAAGAACGUAGCGAAAUGCGAUACUUGGUGUGAAUUGCAGAAUCCCGUGAACCAUCGAGUCUUUGAACGCAAGUUGCGCCCGAAGCCUUCUGGCCGAGGGCACGCCUGCCUGGGCGUC